AAAUUGGCACCUCUCUACAAUUAUAUGUUAGAUAUGCAUGGGUUUUCCUAUUUUGCCAUCGAUAAAGUGGCUACCGGUCUCACUUCAUGAGCAGGGUGUAGGGGUCACCUCCUCGCGAGGCGAAAAACGAAAGUUGAGGCCACUCCAAAAAACAUGGAGCCCAAAGUAAAGUAGAUGUGAAGAAAAAUUAAGAGUAGUGACAGUGUAUAGGGCCUUAGAGGUGACCUUUAGGGGCUGCCAAUGAGAACUGUGACUUGUGCAGUGAGACUGCAUCGCGUGGCCAUGGCACAUCCAACACUGAAUAGGUUUUGGAGACAAGAUUAAUAUCAUUACUGGCCUUUUGAAGACUGACUGACAGAGUGAACAGGUAUCAAUUCAGGAGGAUGUCUGAUGAAACACUCAUUCGCGAAUGAGGAAGUACUCCCAGUCGGUGCUGCUGCUGCCUGGAGCUAUCGUGGGCCUCUGAAGCUUGUGUGGCACUGCUGGCCUAGGGGCCGCUUGGUGUGUGCUGCUGUGGCUUGUCAGAAGCGCGGCAACGAUGACCGGGUCAUAGUCGGGCGUCACGUAUGGACAUCCAUCAAUUGGACAUGCCACGGAUGGCAUCUUGUGAACUGUGAGUUGUGGACACCAACAUAAAUGAGGGGGCACUCUUUGUUAUUGUAUUUCUCCAACACAAACACAAUGUUGGUGUCCACAAUCUGGAACAAAACAGAAAGUUGUUAAGUGAGCUGCACAGGGCAACAGAACACCAUCCACAAACACCAGAGACACUAUCUUCUAGCCACACUGACUGGCGCACAGUCCAACUUACAACCUACUUGAUACCCUUUGUAUGCUUAUCUGCUAUUGUUAUGCUCUUGGUGUCGCCAUGUUGACUGUGAGAUAUUUAGUAAGUUGUGACCAAAGAGGCAUUCGUAGGUGACGUUUAUUCAGUGCAACGAAUGCCCUCGCAUAAAUGGAUCUGGAAGGGAGACAAGAAUUAGGCAUGGUAACCCUUCAGACACGGUGGACACAUCCCUACAUCCCCCCAGUUUGAGAGAACAAGCGAAAAAACUCAAUGAUCACACUGAUAGGCCUCCAGGUAUCGAGGCGGGCGUCGGGGUCGAUGGCUCCUACGGGGAGGUGGCGAUGACUUGUUCGAAGACUCAGGAUCGCAAGACGGGCUCCGUGGUGCGGCCCCAGCCUCGUAGCCGGCGGCGGGGGCCGCGACGGCCUCGGGGUGUGUGGGCUCGCUGAUGGCGGACCAGUGUUCUAAAAUUGGAUUUUGGUUGGGUGUGACGAUGAUGAUCAAAAAAUCUAGGAUGAAAAAAAACAAGUGAAAACCUAUAUCACUUUCGCAAUAAAGGCGU
rnacentral:lncRNA from 1 species